rnacentral:rRNA from 1 species
UCGGCAUGGACGAAGUCUGACCGAGCAACGCCGCGUGAGCGAUGAAGGCCUUCGGGUCGUAAAGCUCUGUUGUCAGAGAAGAACAAGUACCGGAGUAACUGCCGGUACCUUGACGGUACCUGACCAGAAAGCCACGGCUAACUACGUGCCAGCAGCCGCGGUAAUACGUAGGUGGCAAGCGUUAUCCGGAAUUAUUGGGCGUAAAGCGCGCGCAGGCGGUCUUUUAAGUCUGAUGUGAAAGCCCACGGCUCAACCGUGGAGGGUCAUUGGAAACUGGGAGACUUGAGUGCAGGAGAGAAAAGUGGAAUUCCACGUGUAGCGGUGAAAUGCGUAGAGAUGUGGAGGAACACCAGUGGCGAAGGCGGCUUUUUGGCCUGUAACUGACGCUGAGGCGCGAAAGCGUGGGGAGCAAACAGGAUUAGAUACCCUGGUAGUCCACGCCGUAAACGAUGAGUGCUAGGUGUUGGGGGGUUCCACCCUCAGUGCUGACGUUAACACAUUAAGCACUCCGCCUGGGGAGUACGGCCGCAAGGCUGAAACUCAAAGGAAUUGACGGGGGCCCGCACAAGCAGUGGAGCAUGUGGUUUAAUUCGAAGCAACGCGAAGAACCUUACCAGGUCUUGACAUCCUCUGACCACUUGAGAGAUCAAGCUUUCCCCUUCGGGGGACAGAGUGACAGGUGGUGCAUGGUUGUCGUCAGCUCGUGUCGUGAGAUGUUGGGUUAAGUCCCGCAACGAGCGCAACCCUUGACCUUAGUUGCCAGCAUUCAGUUGGGCACUCUAAGGUGACUGCCGGUGACAAACCGGAGGAAGGUGGGGAUGACGUCAAAUCAUCAUGCCCCUUA